UACGAAGGGGGGCUAGCGUUGCUCGGAAUCACUGGGCGUAAAGGGUGCGUAGGCGGGUCUUUAAGUCAGGGGUGAAAUCCUGGAGCUCAACUCCAGAACUGCCUUUGAUACUGAGGAUCUUGAGUUCGGGAGAGGUGAGUGGAACUGCGAGUGUAGAGGUGAAAUUCGUAGAUAUUCGCAAGAACACCAGUGGCGAAGGCGGCUCACUGGCCCGUUACUGACGCUGAGGCACGAAAGCGUGGGGAGCAAACAGG
rnacentral:rRNA from 1 species